UUCUUUUUCACGAGUACGUCCAUGUUGAACGCUGCUAAAUAAAAAAUAUGAGGCGUAUACGUAUUCGCAUGAACAGUUUGAUAAGAUAUUUAAACAUUUUCCGGAUUCACAUAAUUUGUACGAAACAAAAACAGAACACUGUAGACCACUGCGGUAAAGUUGGUUUCAUAUUCGGAUAUUGAACUUCAUUAGCUGUCUUCGUGUGAGUGUCAAAGCAGAAAUACUUGUGCAUUUUGUUUAUUGACAUUUGACACAAUGAGCUCCCGCUCCACUGCUGUCAGAAAAUUUGUUGUAGUAUUUAUAAAAUGCAUUGAUCUCUAUGGAAAAUCUACUCCCGAACACGAGAUAAGGGACCGUCUCCAAAUUACUUGUCUUUCAAUGGGGAAUAUGAAAUUCUUCUCUUAUCAGGUCAGCUUUGACUUUCUCUUAGUUUUCAGUAUUUUUUCAUGUUUUGUAAUGAAACAUAAUCAGUAGCUUCCGAAUGGUUUAUUCUAUUGUGCUAAAACAAGUUGCUUUGCAUAAAACAUCAUCUUGAGGACCUAGUCCCCAUCUGAUUUUAUCAGCUAUAAGUUUGUCCUAAUUUUAAUUUAUUGUGUUUGGUGCAAAAGAACCAUUCCGUUAUAAGCGGUUCACUAUGAUUCUAAAAAGCAAGUUUUGCUACAUCAGAAAUCCUCUUGAGGACCUACUCCCCCUCUCCUUUUGUCAUUUCAAACCCUCUGCUAAUUUUAAGGUUUUUUUUUUUUGGCUUAAUCUGCUCAUGAAAACUAUGUUGUUCUACAUCAUAAAUCCUUUAGAGGAUCUACUCCCCGUCUCCUUUUGUCAUUUUAAAACUCCUUUUAAUUUUCAUUAUUCCUCUAGAAGAUUUCUGAUGUAAAGCAAUUUAAUUUUCGGGGUGGGGGGAGAGAAGAUGGAGGGUUGAGCGGCUGCAUUGUGUAGAGCUCUGACAAAACAGUCCCAAAUUUGACGUUGAGGUAACUUAAACUCUCAUUGAAACUGAAAAAAACUACAGCAGACCUUGUUAAAGCAUACAAGUUGAAAACUGACUCCAAAAAGAAAGAGGGAACUUUGUCCUGUGUCUAACGGAAAGAAAGUCACCAAGAUAUGGACUAUGUAUUGGAAGAGGCUACAGUAAACAAAAGAGAACGUGGAGUGGAUUCAGCCCCUUCAACUGCAAGUAAGACACCUGUGGAAAAGAGGGCCAAAUCAACUGAAAGUGAUGAGUGAAGGAAGAAAUUUGGAAGAGAAGCAAAAACUUCACUUUUUUAAAAGAAAAGGGCAUCAGAUUGGCUGAAAUGUUAUCGAAGAUUUGGAGGAAAGACGAUUCUGGCCUCAGAAGAAGCCAGGAAAGCUGGGAAAGUGGCAUAUUUCCAUGGUCCCUUUGGAUACUCUGAAGGUCGUUGGGUCUGAAGUUAUGGGUGAAGAGAUUCCGCUCCUGUUUUUUCAUUUAUUUCUCUAUUUUCUUACUGUGGUUUUGAAAGGUGUAAAUAGGUGAAGGGACUUCUACAUUCUACAUUGACGGUUAACUAAUAACUGGUUGGUAUUCCUUUUAUUCUCAGGGUUUUUUAUUUGAACACUUUUUUAUCUUUAAUGUUAAAUGCUAAGAUUCAUUUUGGUUCAUUAAAUGUUAGGAGUUUGAAAGACAUUGUUAAAGGAAAAGCAUUGUUUUAUUCUGCAAAGGGCAAAAUCCUCAUUGCAUAUUUCUACAAGAAACUCAUUCUUCUGAAACAGAUGCAUCUUUUUGAGUCAACCAGUGGGGUGACAAGAUUCUCUUGAGCUAUGGUACUAAUCGAUCUGGAGGAGUUGCUGUAUGCUUCAACAACUUCCCUGGAGAAAUCGUGACUCACAAAACUGACACCAAUGGACAUUGGCUAGCAGUGGUAAUAAAAAUUGAUCAUCUGUUUCUUAUAAUGGUUAAUGGUUAUGGUCAUAAUAAUGACAACCUGAACAAAAUUCUUCUUGAAGAGUUAACUGAGGUGAGUUCUGAUUAGGUUUUGCACUGAAUAUGUUUGUGUAGGUGGUGAUUGGAACAUGAAACCAAAUGAAUGGUUGGAUAGGUGACCCUCAAGAUUAAGUAAACCACAAUAGGGCUGUGCAAUUAAUCAAAUUUCGAUUUCGGGUCUCAACGAUCACAAAAAUGGUGUAAUCGAAAAAAACGAUUUCACUUUUUUUUUUUUUUUAAAGUUAUUUUGACCUGCGCUCUGACGCACGCGCGCGCAUCCGCACUUUCGCCCUUCCAGAAGCCUGAACUCUCUCACUCUAUAGUCAGCAAAGAAGUUGUGUAUGUGGCAUCUGAUCGCAUUUAAAAAUCAACGUGAGUGAAGAUGGCAGAAAAAGAGCAGCCACAGAAGUCUGGUCAACAAAAGAGGUAGAAGCAAUUCUGUUGUUUGGGAACAGUUUGGAUUCGAAGAAGCGGACGUGGAUCAAAAACAUAUUAGGUGCAAAAUUUGCUACGCGGUUGUGUCGGCACCGGUUGGUAACACCACAAAUCUUUUUAACCAUUUAAAAUUUAAACACAGACCGACAUAUGACCAACUAAUAAACAGAAAGAACGGCGAACAACCCCCACAACAUCCUCCGCAACAUAGUCAUCCAUUAAAGACACGCUCUUCAGUGCAACUCCGUAUCCAUCCAGCUCAGAAAGGCACAAAAAAAUAACAGAUGCUGUUGCAUACUUUUUAGCCAAAGACAUGUGCCCUAUUAGCACGGUUGAGAAUGAAGGAUUCAGGAAAAUGAUAAAUGUAUUCCAGCCACAAGUUCUUCAUCAGAGCGAGUCUUUAGCACUAGCGGAAAUAUUGUCUCCUGCUUGCGUUCAUCACUGAAACCAGAUCAUGUGAAUAGGCUGGUGUUUCUGGCUAAAAACCUUUGAGGUUUAGAUCUGUAACCCUAUCAGCAUUUUGGCAAUGUUGGAACAUGUUUACAUAGGCUAAAGUUGAAGUUAAACAUAUUAUUUUGUUGUUAAUUAUGUUUAAAAUGUAGAAUGUUGUAAAAUGUUGUUUUGAAUUUUUCAGUUUAAGGCACAUACGUGAGCAAAUUUAUUUUGGACUAAUUUAUUUAUUAUUUUAUUUUAUAUUUUAUUUACUACUUGUUUUCAAAAGAUUGUGGAAGUGCACUACAUUGUUCUUGUUUGCCUUUAUCUGUUUUGUCUGUCUUAAUCUGUUUUAAGGAGAAUUCACUGUUCUGUUCAAUAAAUGCAACAUAUUUCCAAAGUCAA